UAGCAUUCUCUAGGCUUUUGGAAUUACCUGUCCAUCAGUGGCAGUUGGUCAGUAGUUGAUACUGAUGGUAGUGAGGAAGAUGGACUCCUCCAUAGAAAUUGCUUCUUCUGAAGAUAACUGUGGGGGGCCAGACUAAAAGCAAGUGUCUACCUAAGCUGUAAGACUACCAUGGCUACAAAUAUGAAAAAAUAAUGGAGGACCUGUCUUCAAAAAGCUUGAAUGCAGUGCUAUGAGGAAGGCAAUGAAAUGUGAAAAACAGGGAAGAGCCAUGUUCAGACAUGUAUGUUAGGGAAGAUUAAUGCGGCAGGAACAUGAAGGAUUAUUACAGAAGAGAGAACAGAGGCAAGAAGAUCAAAGAGGAGGCAAAAUAAACCUCAGAAACUAACAUUUGUUCUUUAGUCAUUCAGUUGUAUUUGAUUUUUUGUGACUCCAUGAGCACCAUGGAAUUCAUGGAGCUUACCAGGCUUUUCUGUCCUCCACUAAUUCUCAAACUCUUCAAAUUCCAUGUUCCUUGCUUCAAUGAUACUAUCUAUCUACUUCAUCCUCUGCUAUCCCCGUCUAAUUUUGCCUUCAACUUUCCCAGCAACAAAAUUUUUUGUAAUAAAUCCUGUCAUCUCAUUAUGUGGCCAAAGUAUUUAAGAUUAAACUUCAUAUUUGUCCUUCCAAGGAACAGUCAAGAGUUAAUUUCUUUAAGUAUUGAUUGAUUUGAUUUCUUUGCUAUGAAAGGAACUCUCAAACAUCUUCUCCAGCAUCAAUUUUGUGGCAUUCAGCUUUCUCAAACACUCACAAACAUAUACUACUACUUGAAAAACCAUAGUUUUGACUAUAUAGAGAGCUUUUUUGUCAAGGUGAUCUCUUUGCCUGUAAGGAUGCAGUCCAGAUUUGCCAUAACUUGCCUUUUAAGAAGCAAGUGUCUUUUAAUUUCAUGGCUUUAGCUGCUGUCUAAGGUAACUUUUGAACCUAAGAAUAUAAAAUCUGAUACAGCUUCCACUUCUUCUUCCUCUAUUUUCCAGUAAGUGAUGGGACUAGUUGUUUUUUUAAUGUUAAGCCCACUCUGGGUAUGGCACAAGAAAGUCAAAAUUAGAAAUGCAAGUCCUAUACAUAAUGUUUUAUAAAAGCAUACUCUGAUAUAUUAAAGAAUUUUUUUAAAAGUAUCUAUUGUUAAGUAGCUAAAAAUACCUAUGUAAAUAAAACAUUAUUAUACAAUAAGAAAUGAAAAUUAAAAAGUGUUCAUGAAAAUAUGAGGAUAAUGUUAUAAACUGAUGUAGAGCAAAAUAAACAGAAAUAAGAAUAUGCACAAUGAAUGAAAUAAUGUAAGUUAAAAGAUAAAAACUAUAAGGAACUAAACAAUAUAAUAUAUAUCAUUCUUCCUAAGGAAGAGAGAUGAUGGAAAAGGUGGGAUCAAAUCAUGCACUGUGUGUAUGGGUAUGGAAUAUUUUUGCUUAAUUUUUUUUUCUCAUGAUUGAAAGCUCAAUCUAAUGGGCUUGAUGAAUGUUAACUGACUGAGGCUGAAUGACUGUGACAUGAAAGGAAAAAAAAUUUAAAAACAAAAAUAAGAUUAAUUUCCUAAAGGAAUUGCUGCUGUCCCCUAGUCACUAAAACAUAAAGAAAAAUAACUUCUUGGUGAA